AAAAGUCCCAUGGCUUUAUCAUGUGUACAUAUGAGGUAAAAGCAAAGGUCAAAAUCUAGAACGUUUAAUUAGCAUAUGACCUUGAGCUCAAUUUCAAGGUCAUAAACCAAGGACCUCAAAUCAAAAGACUCUAGUCCUCUACUUUAUAUUGUUAAUGAGUUAUAUUACCAUACGUAUGAUAUUAGAUAUAAAAAGGGGGAAAACUCGCGUCAAAUGUCUACGUACCCUUUCGACUAAAAUUUAUGUGUUACGAUAUGUCGUAACUAACAAUUGUGUGAAAAUAUUUAGUCGAUAUCUUGUAUGAUUUCUGAAAAUAAGAGAUAACAAGCC
rnacentral:lncRNA from 1 species